GACGAACGCUGGCGGCGUGCUUAACACAUGCAAGUCGAGCGGUAAGGCCCUUUCGGGGGUACACGAGCGGCGAACGGGUGAGUAACACGUGGGUGACCUGCCCUCAGCUCUGGGAUAAGCCUGGGAAACCGGGUCUAAUACCGGAUAUGACUCCAUGACGCAUGUUGUGGGGUGGAAAGCCUUGUGCGGCUGAGGAUGGGCCCGCGGCCUAUCAGCUUGUUGGUGGGGUGAUGGCCUACCAAGGCGACGACGGGUAGCCGGCCUGAGAGGGCGACCGGCCACACUGGGACUGAGACACGACCCAGACUCCUACGGGAGGCAGCAGUGGGGAAUCUUGCGCAAUGGGCGAAAGCCUGACGCAGCGACGCCGCGUGAGGGAUGACGGCCU
rnacentral:rRNA from 1 species